rnacentral:rRNA from 1 species
AACGAACGCUGGCGGCAUGCCUAACACAUGCAAGUCGAACGAGACCUUCGGGUCUAGUGGCGCACGGGUGCGUAACGCGUGGGAACCUGCCCUUAGGUUCGGAAUAACUCCCCGAAAGGGGUGCUAAUACCGGAUAAUGUCUUCGGACCAAAGAUUUAUCGCCUUUGGAUGGGCCCGCGUUGGAUUAGCUAGUUGGUAGGGUAAAAGCCUACCAAGGCGACGAUCCAUAGCUGGCCUGAGAGGAUGAUCAGCCACACUGGGACUGAGACACGGCCCAGACUCCUACGGGAGGCAGCAGUAGGGAAUAUUGGACAAUGGGCGAAAGCCUGAUCCAGCAAUGCCGCGUGAGUGAUGAAGGCCUUAGGGUUGUAAAGCUCUUUUACCCGGGAUGAUAAUGACAGUACCGGGAGAAUAAGCUCCGGCUAACUCCGUG